GAGGAAAAGAAACCAACAGGGAUUGCCUCAGUAACGGCGAGUGAAGCGGCAAAAGCUCAAAUUUGAAAUCUAGUACCUUCGGUGCUCGAGUUGUAAUUUGGAGAUAGUUUUCUGGUGCUGGCCCUUGUCUAUGUUCCUUGGAACAGGACGUCAUAGAGGGUGAGAAUCCCGUCUGAUGGGGUGUCCAGUGCUUUGUAGAUUUCUAUCGAAGAGUCGAGUUGUUUGGGAAUGCAGCUCUAAGUGGGUGGUAAAUUCCAUCUAAAGCUAAAUAUUGGCGAGAGACCGAUAGCGAACAAGUACAGUGAUGGAAAGAUGAAAAGAACUUUGAAAAGAGAGUGAAAAAGUACGUGAAAUUGUUGAAAGGGAAGGAUAUUGGAUCAGACUUGGUGUUUUGUGAUUAUCUUCCCUUCUUGGGUUGUGCACUCGCAUUUCACUGGGCCAGCAUCGAUUCGGAUGGCAAGAUAAUGGCUUGGGAACGUGGCUCUCUUCGGGGAGUGUUAUAGCCCUUGUUGAUGUUGCCUAUCUGGAUCGAGGACUGCGGCUUUUGCCUAGGAUGCUGGCGUAAUGAUUCAAUAUCGCCCGUCUUGAAACACGGACCAAGGAGUCUAACGUCUAUGCGAGUGUUUGGGUGUAAAACCCGUACGCGUAAUGAAAGUGAACGUAGGUGAGAGCCCUUAAGGGUGCAUCAUCGACCGAUCCUGAUGUUUUCGGAUGGAUUUGAGUAAGAGCAUAGCUGUUGGGACCCGAAAGAUGGUGAACUAUGCCUGAAUAGGGUGAAGCCAGAGGAAACUCUGGUGGAGGCUCGUAGCGGUUCUGACGUGCAAAUCGAUCGUCGAAUUUGGGUAUAGGGGCGAAAG
rnacentral:rRNA from 1 species